rnacentral:lncRNA from 1 species
CGCCAUGAGCAAAGUCUGCGGCCCCUCACUCGGCGCGGCUCCGGGAACACUGGGGCGGGGGUGGGUGAUUCAGUCCCCCACCCCCGGGUGUCCUGACUCCCUGGUGGCCCUGGGCUGACAGCUCCACACCUUGGGAGGCCGCACCCCCACCUGCCGCAUUUCCUCGUUCUGAGUCACCCUUGCUCAGAACGCUUGACUUUGGGACUUCCUGUCCGCACUCGCGGCCCCUAACCUGCCCCGGGAGCCCGGGAGUGCGGCUUGGGAAGGAGGGAAAGGAGUGUGUGAGCAGGGAUUGGCCCGAACCUAUCUCCACGCUCUCCCCCGGGACUGGAGGUGAAGGGGGGCGUGGAGAAAAUCUCAGGGAACAGGGGCUUCGACAGGGGGCUCCCGCCCGCCCGAGCCCCCUCCCCAAAAUGCGAGGCCUGCACAGUAUGCCUUCUCCGCAAAACCUCGGCAAGCGGGUUAGUGAAUUCAGGUCACUAAGAAGCUGAGCCCGCGGAAAGCUGCCCAAACACCCCCUUCUCUAGGGGACUCCCCACGCCCCCCGCCGGGACGCGUUCCCGAAGUCGCCGCCUGGACUGCAACCGCGUGGCCUGCGCCGCGUCCUCUUCUCCGCAGCCUCCGAGGCCCGUGCGACCAAGCUGAAACCGCUUAUUCUCCGGAGCCCCUAUGACCCCGGGUGGGGGCCAGGGCUCGCCUCGAUCGCAGCCCGUGCGCCCUCCGGACUCCAGUUCGCCGGGACUGGGCGACACCAGAAGCGGCUAGUGUGAGUGAAACAAACGGGAAAUUUGCUCUGGCCCGCCUGCCCAGCCACCCACGGCUGCCUGUUGGCCAAUCACCAUUUGACCAGUCCAGGAAGAGCAACUGUGGCAGGCCUGAUUUCCUGGGAGGCCCCAGACUCCCUUUGCCUACCUCUUCCUCUCUGACCCCAUCCUCGCUUUGAUGCCCGGGACCUGCUACCCAGUGCAUUGAGAGAUGACAGUAGCUCGGCCUCUUAGAGCAGUAUGACGAUGGCACAAGUUACUAUUUGCCAAGCACAGAGCAUGACGUCAUGCCCAGAAGCCCAGGAUACAAUCCAGAGACAAUGACAAAUGGGGGAUUCCCGCUUCUGCAGAAGGUGGGGCGACUGGUGCCCAGGGGCCCCCAGGAAGUGCCCUUACCUGACUCCCAGGAUCCUCCUCUGUGACCCUGGGGCCUUCCAACCUGCCAGGAUCUCGCUCUGUCACCCAGGCCAGAGUGCAGUGGUGCGAU